rnacentral:rRNA from 1 species
AGAGCGAACGCUGGCGGCAGGCUUAACACAUGCAAGUCGAGCGCCCCGCAAGGGGAGCGGCAGACGGGAGAGUAACACGUGGGAACGUACCUUUCGGUUCGGAACAACCCAGGGAAACUUGGGCUAAUACCGGAUACGCCCGCAAGGGGAAAGAUUUAUCGCCGGAAGAUCGGCCCGCGUCUGAUUAGCUAGUUGGUGAGGUAACGGCUCACCAAGGCGACGAUCAGUAGCUGGUCUGAGAGGAUGAUCAGCCUCACUGGGACUGAGACACGGCCCAGACUCCUACGGGAGGCAGCAGUGGGGAAUAUUGGACAAUGGGCGCAAGCCUGAUCCAGCCAUGCCGCGUGGGUGAUGAAGGCCCUAGGGUUGUAAAGCCCGUUUCGGCGGGAAGAUAAUGACGGUACCCGCAGAAGAAGCCCCGGCUAACUUCGUGCCAGCAGCCGC